ACGUAGGCAGCAAGCGUUGUUCGGAAUUACUGGGCGUAAAGAGUGUGUAGGCGGUGCUCUAAGUCUGUUGUGAAAUCUCCCGGCUUAACCGGGAGGGUGCGGCGGAAACUGGAGUGCUUGAGGGUGGGAGAGGUAAGCGGAAUUCCUGGUGUAGCGGUGAAAUGCGUAGAUAUCAGGAGGAACACCUGUGGUGUAGACAGCUUACUGGACCACUUCUGACGCUGAGACACGAAAGCGUGGGUAGCAAACAGGA
rnacentral:rRNA from 1 species